GGUUCCUUGGUGUAAUGGUUAGUACUCUGGACACUGAAUCCAGUGAUCCUAGUUCAUAUCUUCGUGGAACCU
rnacentral:tRNA from 1 species